rnacentral:rRNA from 1 species
UACGUAGGGGGGCAAGCGUUGUCCGGAUUUACUGGGCGUAAAGCGCGUGUAGGCGGAAGCGAAAGUCCGGUGUGAAAGCCCCCCGCUCAACGGGGGAAGGUCGCUGGAAACUGCGCUUCUUGAGGGCGGCAGAGGGAAGUGGAAUUGCUGGUGUAGCGGUGAAAUGCGUAGAGAUCAGCAGGAACACCCGUGGCGAAGGCGGCUUCCUGGGCCGCGCCUGACGCUGAGACGCGAAAGCUAGGGGAGCGAACAGG